UUCCAGACUCCUACGGGAGGCAGCAGUGGGGGAUAUUGCACAAUGGGGGAAACCCUGAUGCAGCGAUGCCGCGUGAAUGAAGACGGCCUUCGGGUUGUAAAGUCCUGUCGCAGGGGACGAAAAUGACGGUACCCUGCAAGAAAGCUCCGGCUAACUACGUGCCAGCAGCCGCGGUAAUACGUAGGGAGCAAGCGUUGUCCGGAAUUACUGGGUGUAAAGGGAGCGUAGGCGGGAAGCCAAGUCAGCUGUGAAAACUACGGGCUUAACCUGUAGACUGCAGUUGAAACUGGCUUUCUUGAGUGAAGUAGAGGUUGGCGGAAUUCCGAGUGUAGCGGUGAAAUGCGUAGAUAUUCGGAGGAACACCGGUGGCGAAGGCGGCCAACUGGGCUUUAACUGACGCUGAGGCUCGAAAGUGUGGGGAGCAAACAGGAUUAGAUACCCUAGUACA
rnacentral:rRNA from 1 species